rnacentral:rRNA from 1 species
AUGUGUCCGUUCAGAAGCUCCGUGCCAUCACGGACGCGGCGGCCGACCGCGCGGAGAUGCACGACAUCAUCGGCAAAGAGCGCGACAACUAGAACCACUUGCUGUGCUCCACUCCACCAACUCCCUCAAGCUCGCCGCCUCCGUCAUGGCUGCGCUCGCGCCCGCUCGCUCCUGGCCUCCGUGGCCGUUACCAUGGCGGCCGUCAACAAGAUCCAGCCGUCGCAGCUCGCCGAGGAGCAGCACAACGCCACCAGGCUAUGGAGAGAGCUCGAGCGCGACGUCCGUUCCGCGCUCGCGCUCGGCGCGUCGACGACCACCAGGGCCGACGUGUAGGACGGCAUAGACCGGGUGCUCGCGCUCGACGCCGCCUACCCGCUGCCGCUGCUCCCUAGCAUGCUCGAAAAGUUCCCCAAGGCCAUCGAGCCCACGCGCUGGUUGCCGCGCUCGCGCUGUCGCCCCGCGCAGCCCAAGAACUCAAGGACAAGGAGCUUCGGCCGUCGUGCAGUCACUUCCGGCAACGGCUGGACCCAAGAUCUUGAGGACGAGAUGCGAGGCAUCCUUAGGGUCAUUAAGGCCAAGGAUGAGCAGGAGUUCCUGACGGUGGGCAAGCUGGUGCUCAACCUAAACAGGGGCCUCGCCGUAGCCGGUCCGGUGCUGGCAGGCACGGCGGCGUUCGCCAUAGUGUUCAUUGGCUCCGGCGAGGACGGGACGUGGGCGUCGGGAGCGACCGUCUUUGGCGGGGCGCUGGCAGCCGUGGUGAACACAGUGGAGCACAACGGGCAGAUGGGCAUGCUGUUCGAGCUGCUCCGCAACUGCGCCGGCUUCUACCGCAAGAUCUGGGAGGACAUCGAGGCCAACCUCGACGAACCCGAUGUGGAGCGGAGGAAGCGCGGCGAGGUGUUUGCGACAAAGGUGGCGCUGAAGCUUGGCCGGAGCCUCUCGGACCUUAAGUCGGGAUUCGGGAAGAUGGCCUCGCCGUCCGUCGGAGACGAGGACAUGAAGGAAUUUGCCGGGAAACUCUUCUAA